GUGUCUUGAUGGAAACAGCCAAAUUUGAGCCUCAGAAGACCUUUCAGUCUACCCAACGCAUGAUCUCUGUGGUUUUGAGA